UACGUAGGGCGCAAGCGUUAUCCGGAAUUAUUGGGCGUAAAGAGCUCGUAGGCGGCUCGUUGCGUCAACCGUGAAAACCCGGGGCUCAACCCCGGGCCUGCAGUCGAUACGGGCAGACUAGAGUGUGGUAGGGGAGACUGGAAUUCCUGGUGUAGCGGUGGAAUGCGCAGAUAUCAGGAGGAACACCAAUGGCGAAGGCAGGUCUCUGGGCCACAACUGACGCUGAGGAGCGAAAGCGUGGGGAGCGAACAGG
rnacentral:rRNA from 1 species